AGUGAACGCUGGCGGUAGGCCUAACACAUGCAAGUCGAACGGCAGCACAGGAGAGCUUGCUCUCUGGGUGGCGAGUGGCGGACGGGUGAGGAAUACAUCGGAAUCUACUCUGUCGUGGGGGAUAACGUAGGGAAACUUACGCUAAUACCGCAUACGACCUACGGGUGAAAGCAGGGGAUCGUCGGACCUUGCGCGAUUGAAUGAGCCGAUGUCGGAUUAGCUAGUUGGCGGGGUAAAGGCCCACCAAGGCGACGAUCCGUAGCUGGUCUGGGAGGAUGAUCAGCCACACUGGAACUGAGACACGGUCCAGACCCCUACGGGAGGCAGCAGUGGGGAAUAUUGGACAAUGGGCGCAAGCCUGAUCCAGCCAUACCGCGUGGGUGAAGAAGGCCUUCGGGUUGUAAAGCCCUUUUGUUGGGAAAGAAAUCCAGCUGGCUAAUACCCGGUUGGGAUGACGGUACCCAAAGAAUAAGCACCGGCUAACUUCGUGCCAGCCGCCGCCGUAA
rnacentral:rRNA from 1 species